AAUGUCUACCAUAAUCCUUUGCCCAUUAUUGUUCCUGCUGGCUGAUUGGCUGUUGCCUCAAUUUGAAUGUAGGACCUCGUGCAUGCCAGAUCCUCCAGUAGUAUCUAAAUACCAAAACUCAACUUAUGAACAAGUAACUGAGGAUCAGACUGAGGUUGGAGGAGUGGGGCCCUGCAGCCAUUGCUUCUGCCGCUGCUGCCGCAGCCACCACCACCGCUGCUGGCAUUUGACCCUCAUCUGUCACCACAUGGAGAUCCACCAAGUCCAGUGAACCCUACAGACAAGCUCCUUCCCUCCCUAUUUCUCCAAAGUCUAGUUGGUGUAUAAAUGUGUGACAUGCAGUAUCUGGAAAUGCCCAUAACACCCCAUGAUUUAUUUUGAUGUUUUAAAAACUGGGUCUAUGUCUCUGGCAAUAGUAAUACAUGUUUGCAGAAUGCCUGAGUUAAAGGCAGGGGUUCUCUACACAGUAUGUGCCCAAAAGCAGUUUAUGCAAGUCAAUGGGAUGUUUGGGAUAAACUCCUCGAGUUUCAUAGACCAAAUGGACCUGGGAAGGCCCACACUGCCAGGAAGAGGAGGGGGGGAGGAGGAGGAGGAGGAGGAGGAGAAGGAAGGAGAAGAAGAGUGGAAUGGCAACUAAUUUUGUUCAGGGUUUCAGUAAACUGAAUUCCCUUCUUAGUCAAGUCCCUUCCGGUGAAAGUGCCUCACAUGCCACACAUAGAUGCCCAGCUUCCAGCAGCAGCCACCUCUCAGCCUGCCAUCUUCCCCUGAUAGGUUGGCCUCAUGAACAUCUCUGCUCUGAACUGGCUCCAGGCUCCCUGUCUGCCCUGGAGGUCCAGCACUUCCCACACCUGAGCCAGCACGUGCAGCAGAAACCACCUCACCAACGGAAAGGGCGCUUUUGUCUUCCUCCAGCUGCAGAUCUGAUUCUUGGGGUCACCAUAACAAAGUCCCACCGACUUCUGGAGGCUGUCAGUCAGCAAUCGAGUCCUCUGUGCACCGCAGGGAGACCCAUCCUUGCUUCUUCUGAGCUCCUGCUUAUUGGUCAGCAACCCUUGCCUUCCUUGACUUGGGUUCCACAAGGGCAGGCUGCUGGAUUUCCAGUGCAGAGCACAGAGCCUGGCACGUGUUAGGCGCUCAGAAACGAGCACUUGUCUGUAAUGCCAGCCUUCAGCAGGCAGAGGCAGGAGGAAUAACAAAUAAAUAAACAAGAA